ensembl:lncRNA
ACAAAGGGUUGGUCCUCUCCGUGGCAGGUCCAGCUAAACAUAGUGGUGGUCGAGUUUGAUGGGAACCCAAGCAGGUGUUAUUAGAAUCAGCGGAACUGCCCCAUGUCUCUGUUUGGGCGUCUGGUGUUAGAGAGAGAGGACAACUGUCAGUCAGGCAACACCAGCAAAAUGAGAAAUUCCUCAUCGUGACCCCGACAGCCUCCGGCCCCGCUCCUUAACACCUGCUCUGGAAUGAUCCAAAGACUGAGGGCACAAAGCGUCCCCUUGUACGACAGCCGCUCUGACUCAUCUGCUGCAGGAGAGGAAAAGCACCCAAGAGCGCAGGAGUGGGUGUGGGCACGGUGCCUGCCCGGGGCGGCAGUGAGUCACGAUGCACCGCAGGACCCAUUCAUCACGGCGCGGCGCCGGCCCUGCCUGCACCUUGGCACCGUCCGUCGCGGCCCAACCUGGCCAGUGGUGAAAGUUGGGGUUCGCUCUAUCGCCGGGCCUCUCGUGUUAAUCGCUGCCUCGCCCCCGUGGCCCCGUGCGGUCGAGGAUAAAGAGGACGCGAGCAAAGGGGGAACAGCCGAUUGUUUUCGGACCGGGACACUGGUCGUGGCUGUACACUGUGUUACACUCUUUGUGCCUUGAAAAGAUUUUCAGCCCAGCGUCUUCCUCACAACUUACACGACGUCUAACCCCCUAACUGUACCACCCAUUUACUAAUCUACCCAAUGCAUCUACAGUCAUCAGCCAUGUUUCUUAUGUCGCUUGUUCAGAACAUUUUACAGCAACAACUUUCCGUUCCAACUAGUCAGAAAGCAAAAAAGGUCUUUGUCAGUAUGUUCUUGUGCAUUUAAAAAUUAGAUAAUUGAUGUAAUUUCAUAGCUUUAUAAAGAUCAAAAUCCAUAGAUAUAGAUAUAAAAAUGUCCGUGGUCACCAGGACCGGAAAAUGAAGCCAAUGCCGAAGUGCAUGAAGCCUGUAUUCUGUGUAAUAACCAGCAGGGGGCGACUCAAGCGCUCGUUCAACAGCACGAUGUUCAUUUAGUAAAUCGUGGCCUCAUUUAGAGUCAAAUAGACGAUAAAGCACCGUAGCGCGGGUACAGCGUGAUUGACAGCAGGUCCGUCCAAUCGGUGCGUGAUUUGCAGGUGACGGUAGGCGCGCAGGCCACGAGCUUAGACCACACCCCCAAUGUUACGUCCGGUGAACACGUGUGUGAGCUCAUCACACCUCUGCCCAAACACGCUGGAGCAAAAGGUUGCCUCUUGAUCCAAUCGAACAAUAAUGGUGAAUGAAUGCGAUGCCUCCGGAUUUUCCGCGUUUUCUCUGAGCGAUCUGCUUCACAGGGGAGAGACGACCGGACGCCGGAGGCUUCGAGGGGAGAAGCUACUUCAACCUGUUAGAGGAUUAACCGCUGUGGGGGAUACAUGGUUUUGGAGUACAUGGAGUGAAACUUUCCCAUUUUUUUUCACCCUCUGCCGUUCGGGGCUGCCGCGGUGCAAUCUUGCCUCGUGGCGUUUUGAAAAAACCUUCUCGUGCUGGAUCAUUACAACGGCGUGCUGGAAAAUCAGAAAAGGGUUUGUAUGCUGUGUAAAAACAAAACAAAAAAAAUACAAACAACAACGUGGCAAAAACAAGGAAUAGCAGUAUUCAAAUGUAACAUGUGGCAGUCGUGAUGGGAGGAAACUUAAUAUACAGUCAGUUUGAAUUUAAUGGAUGAAAAACAGCAAAUGCAGCAUGAAAACUGCCAAACAACUGCUACAGGAACAGGAAUGGUUGACGUGUGAUAUUCUUAUUUCCACGUGAAGAUGUGACUGAAGAGGGCUCGACAUCUGCAAAGCACGAGACGCAGUGCACACGUCCGCACCCGACAGCUUCCGAGCGGCCUCCAAUACUUUGCCCGCGGAGGAUUCCGCUCGCCUCCUGCUCAACAUCCUUAAAGCCGCCGACUGUGCGAUGCUGAAGAGCAGAUAUUGUUCAGGGAUGAGACACUGAAAAGGGCUUGUUGUGUAUCUUCUGUGCGUCUCCGUGUAACCGCGGGUUUAGUCUGUGUGUGUUACUCAUUAGCGGAGUGAAACCCACAACUGUGCUUCCAUCUAAGCACGGCUCUCGUAGGGGGAUCGGGAACAAAGCUCGGGUGGCAUCAGUCUUCUUCCCCCCGAGGAGCGGGUUUGGAAAAUGUAUGUUUUUCCCAGUUUUUUUUCUUUUUUUAGUGUGAUGGUGUGCCAGCCGACGAGGAGGUUCACCGAGAGGGGAAUCAAGUUUGAGUUGUUACAGGAAAUUUAGGUGAAUUAUUUUUCGGGCGUCGCGAUUGGCUGAGACGUGUUGAUAUAAUCUCACCUUUCUCUCCCCUCCACCUGGCGUUGGCCAUUUUUUUUAAAGUUGACCCCAAAUCACGUGGCCGCCAUACGAUGUUGCGAUUACGUCAUUGGCUUUUUUUCGCCGUUGUCCUUGAUCAAUCUGUCACAUCUGUCAAUUUUCCCAAUUUUCUUUUUUAUCACAUAUGAAUAAUGCAUGACUUUGCAAAAUGAAAUAAAAAAAACUAUCGCCGU